UAUAGUUUAUUUGGUAUUCUUUUUCCAUGGAUAACCGUGCUAAUUGUAGGGCUAAUACACGUUGGAGGCCUUUUUGGCGGCGUUUAUUAGUUGUAAACCUCCGUUUGGUUUUCGGUGAUUCAUAAUAAACUUGCGAAUCGCUUUUAGCGAUGGACCAUUCAAGUUUCUGACCCAUCAGCUUGACGGUAGGGUAUUGGCCUACCGAGGCAGCAACGGGUAACGGGGAAUUAGGGUUCGAUUCCGGAGAGGGAGCCUGAGAGACGGCUACCACAUCUAAGGAAGGCAGCAGGCGCGCAAAUUACCCAAUCCCGACACGGGGAGGUAGUGACAAGAAAUAACAAUACAGGGCUAAUGUCUUGUAAUUGGAAUGAUGGUGACUUAAACCCUCACCAGAGUAGCAAUUGGAGGGCAAGUCUGGUGCCAGCAGCCGCGGUAAUUCCAGCUCCAAUAGCGUAUAUUAAACUUGUUGCAGUUAAAAAGCUCGUAGUUGUAUUUUUGCUUGGCGGUUUGUUGCCUUUGUGGCUUGAUUCCGCUUGGCUUUUGGCUUUUUGCCUUAUUACUUUGAGAAAAUUAGAG
rnacentral:rRNA from 1 species